GUGCCAGCAGCCGCGGUAAUACGUAGGGUGCGAGCGUUAAUCGGAAUUACUGGGCGUAAAGCGUGCGCAGGCGGUUAUAUAAGACAGUUGCGAAAUCCCCGGGCUUAACCUGGGAAUGGCGCUUGUGACUGCACGACUGGAGUGCGGCAGAGGGGGAUGGAAUUCCGCGUGUAGCAGUGAAAUGCGUAGAUAUGCGGAGGAACACCGAUGGCGAAGGCAGUCCCCUGGGCCUGCACUGACGCUCAUGCACGAAAGCGUGGGGAGCAAACAGG
rnacentral:rRNA from 1 species